UUCAACUCUGACCUCGCCCUUCCAGUUUCACGUUCUGCCACAUCGAAGUCCAGCCCCUUUCGGUAAUCCAAACAGGGAUUUCCGACACAGAUAGGAAGCUCCGCCGUUCCCCAUGAUCAGGAAUAUGCCAAACCUGCUGUCCUGGAUGUUUUAGCCAAACAUUCGAACAUGAAACUUUUUGAGGUAAUGGCUAUCUUAUCCUUCAUGCUAACUAAACAUUGUUGAAGCUAUAGAAGAUGAACUUUCACCGGCUAAGAAUUGAUUGGACAUUGUUGAAGCUGUGGAAGAUGGUCAUUAAUAAGAAGAAAGAAGAGCAAUGUAGAUAUUUGUAUAGGGUAAUGAAAAAG